rnacentral:lncRNA from 1 species
CGGUCACUAUGCUUUAUUUUACUUAUUUGCUGAGGUAGUAAAAAUGUAGUUGCUAACAGUUGAAACUUAACUAAUAUAUUCUAGAAAAAUUUUUUAAAAGACAAAUAGAUUUGGAAGGAGACAGAAUUCUGUUAACCUUUAAUGACAGGAUUACUUUACACAGAACUCCUCGUUCAGAGAACAUUAUGGCUCGAUGAAAUUCCACAACUUCUUACCAAUAAGGGUAAGGCAGCAGGAACUCCAGUAGUGAUACACACAAGGCAUACAAUGUUGAUAUAAACUUUGGUCAGCUCAGAAAAAAAAUGGAAGAUAUUUUUGGAAGACUAUUUUGGAGCUAUAUGGAUGAAUCAGACAUACGUCAUAUUGACCCAAAAAAAGUUACAAAACUGAAACUGCGAGGCUUUAACCAGGAGAAGACAAUCGGCAGUGCUUGAUUACUCUUGAUAUCAGGAGUGACCCAUCAGUCACCACCACUCAAUCCUGCUGUUCGUGGCAACUUCGCCUGCUGUCUAGAAUCCUAUCUUGUAUUACAGCAGAGACAGAGGAUAGAUACGACUGGCGUAAAGUAUACGCAGCUUUGUUUUCACCAGACAUAAAAGAGGCUCAGAAGAUCCCAUGAGACCCUGUGGAGAGAGUGGAAGGUAUGUAAGAGUUAAGUCAGUAUGGUUCUCUGAAGUCUAGACGGAGGAUACCAACAAGUAUCAGAGCAGAAGCCACAUCUGACAAGAACCAAGAUGGGAAGCUUAGUAAGAAAGGAGAACUGGCUGAUUGUCCUUCAACAGCAGAAGAGGGAAGAACCAGGAAAGACGAGCGCUAUCUCAACCAGAGUAAUUCACACUUGCUGAAUCCAUGCCCUCUGCCAUGUGUGAAAAUUCUUCAGAGCAUGGAUGGCUCAAGGUUCCAAAAGGGCAAAGACAGAAAAUGCAAAGGGGAAGAGGGAACAAGAUGGCAGAGGAGUAGGGGACCCCUUUUUCAGCCGGUCCCCUGAGUCGAGCUGGAUAGGUACCAGACCAGACUGAACAUCCACGGAACCAGCCUGAGACGCAGGAAGAUGCAUCUGGAUCUCUACAAAUGAACAUCUCCAGUGCUGAGUAUUGAGGUACGAAGCGGGGAGCCGUGAAUCCGCGCACAGAUAUUGGAAGAUAAACGGAAGGGGGAGGGAGCCGCCGCGUUCGGGUACCGGGAAGCAGUAGCCACCUGCACGGGGGAGCGGGUGGGCUCGCGGACGGCACCCGCGAAACAGCAGACUGAGACCGUGAGCCGGGA